UCUGCCUGGUAGUGGGGGAUAACGUCCGGAAACGGACGCUAAUACCGCAUACGUCCUACGGGAGAAAGCAGGGGACCUUCGGGCCUUGCGCUAUCAGAUGAGCCUAGGUCGGAUUAGCUAGUUGGUGGGGUAAUGGCUCACCAAGGCGACGAUCCGUAACUGGUCUGAGAGGAUGAUCAGUCACACUGGAACUGAGACACGGUCCAGACUCCUACGGGAGGCAGCAGUGGGGAAUAUUGGACAAUGGGCGAAAGCCUGAUCCAGCCAUGCCGCGUGUGUGAAGAAGGUCUUCGGAUUGUAAAGCACUUUAAGUUGGGAGGAAGGGCAGUAAAUUAAUACUUUGCUGUUUUGACGUUACCGACAGAAUAAGCACCGGCUAACUCUGUGCCAGCAGCCGCGGUAAUACAGAGGGUGCAAGCGUUAAUCGGAAUUACUGGGCGUAAAGCGCGCGUAGGUGGUUCGUUAAGUUGGAUGUGAAAUCCCCGGGCUCAACCUGGGAACUGCAUUCAAAACUGACGAGCUAGAGUAUGGUAGAGGGUGGUGGAAUUUCCUGUGUAGCGGUGAAAUGCGUAGAUAUAGGAAGGAACACCAGUGGCGAAGGCGACCACCUGGACUGAUACUGACACUGAGGUGCGAAAGCGUGGGGAGCAAACAGGA
rnacentral:rRNA from 1 species